rnacentral:ncRNA from 1 species
AUUUAUCCUAUGAAGAGAAUAGUAGCAUAAAGUAAAUUUAAGAGAGUCAGUGGAUGGUGAGAACUGAUAAUUGUACUUUUGUGAAUCCGCCUUGGAGGAUUAUUACGAUGAGUAAUACGGUUAAAAUCGUUAUUUUUAAGUAAGUGAGUCAUAUAUUUAAUUAUGUGGCUAAUAAGGGUGGCAACGCGAGUCAAUCGUCCCUAUG